rnacentral:rRNA from 1 species
UAGGGAAUCUUCGGCAAUGGACGAAAGUCUGACCGAGCAACGCCGCGUGAGUGAAGAAGGUUUUCGGAUCGUAAAACUCUGUUGUUAGAGAAGAACAAGGACGUUAGUAACUGAACGUCCCCUGACGGUAUCUAACCAGAAAGCCACGGCUAACUACGUGCCAGCAGCCGCGGUAAUACGUAGGUGGCAAGCGUUGUCCGGAUUUAUUGGGCGUAAAGCGAGCGCAGGCGGUUUCUUAAGUCUGAUGUGAAAGCCCCCGGCUCAACCGGGGAGGGUCAUUGGAAACUGGGAGACUUGAGUGCAGAAGAGGAGAGUGGAAUUCCAUGUGUAGCGGUGAAAUGCGUAGAUAAAUGGAGGAACACCAGUGGCGAAGGCGGCUCUCUGGUCUGUAACUGACGCUGAGGCUCGAAAGCGUGGGGAGCAAACAGG